CGGGACACGUGGUAUCCUGUCUGAAUAUGGGGGGACCAUCCUCCAAGGCUAAAUACUCCUGACUGACCGAUAGUGAACCAGUACCGUGAGGGAAAGGCGAAAAGAACCCCGGCGAGGGGAGUGAAAAAGAACCUGAAACCGUGUACGUACAAGCAGUGGGAGCACGCUUAGGCGUGUGACUGCGUACCUUUUGUAUAAUGGGUCAGCGACUUAUAUUCUGUAGCAAGGUUAACCGAAUAGGGGAGCCGAAGGGAAACCGAGUCUUAACUGGGCGUUAAGUUGCAGGGUAUAGACCCGAAACCCGGUGAUCUAGCCAUGGGCAGGUUGAAGGUUGGGUAACACUAACUGGAGGACCGAACCGACUAAUGUUGAAAAAUUAGCGGAUGACUUGUGGCUGGGGGUGAAAGGCCAAUCAAACCGGGAGAUAGCUGGUUCUCCCCGAAAGCUAUUUAGGUAGCGCCUCGUGAAUUCAUCUCCGGGGGUAGAGCACUGUUUCGGCAAGGGGGUCAUCCCGACUUACCAACCCGAUGCAAACUGCGAAUACCGGAGAAUGUUAUCACGGGAGACACACGGCGGGUGCUAACGUCCGUCGUGAAGAGGGAAACAACCCAGACCGCCAGCUAAGGUCCCAAAGUCAUGGUUAAGUGGGAAACGAUGUGGGAAGGCCCAGACAGCCAGGAUGUUGGCUUAGAAGCAGCCAUCAUUUAAAGAAAGCGUAAUAGCUCACUGGUCGAGUCGGCCUGCGCGGAAGAUGUAACGGGGCUAAACCAUGCACCGAAGCUGCGGCAGCGACGCUGAUGCGUUGUUGGGUAGGGGAGCGUUCUGUAAGCCUGUGAAGGUGUGCUGUGAGGCAUGCUGGAGGUAUCAGAAGUGCGAAUGCUGACAUAAGUAACGAUAAAGCGGGUGAAAAGCCCGCUCGCCGGAAGACCAAGGGUUCCUGUCCAACGUUAAUCGGGGCAGGGUGAGUCGACCCCUAAGGCGAGGCCGAAAGGCGUAGUCGAUGGGAAACAGGUUAAUAUUCCUGUACUUGGUGUUACUGCGAAGGGGGGACGGAGAAGGCUAUGUUGGCCGGGCGACGGUUGUCCCGGUUUAAGCGUGUAGGCUGGUUUUCCAGGCAAAUCCGGAAAAUCAAGGCUGAGGCGUGAUGACGAGGCACUACGGUGCUGAAGCAACAAAUGCCCUGCUUCCAGGAAAAGCCUCUAAGCAUCAGGUAACAUCAAAUCGUACCCCAAACCGACACAGGUGGUCAGGUAGAGAAUACCAAGGCGCUUGAGAGAACUCGGGUGAAGGAACUAGGCAAAAUGGUGCCGUAACUUCGGGAGAAGGCACGCUGAUAUGUAGGUGAAGCGACUUGCUCGUGGAGCUGAAAUCAGUCGAAGAUACCAGCUGGCUGCAACUGUUUAUUAAAAACACAGCACUGUGCAAACACGAAAGUGGACGUAUACGGUGUGACGCCUGCCCGGUGCCGGAAGGUUAAUUGAUGGGGUCAGCGCAAGCGAAGCUCUUGAUCGAAGCCCCGGUAAACGGCGGCCGUAACUAUAACGGUCCUAAGGUAGCGAAAUUCCUUGUCGGGUAAGUUCCGACCUGCACGAAUGGCGUAAUGAUGGCCAGGCUGUCUCCACCCGAGACUCAGUGAAAUUGAACUCGCUGUGAAGAUGCAGUGUACCCGCGGCAAGACGGAAAGACCCCGUGAACCUUUACUAUAGCUUGACACUGAACAUUGAGCCUUGAUGUGUAGGAUAGGUGGGAGGCUUUGAAGUGUGGACGCCAGUCUGCAUGGAGCCGGCCUUGAAAUACCACCCUUUAAUGUUUGAUGUUCUAACGUUGACCCGUGAUCCGGGUUGCGGACAGUGUCUGGUGGGUAGUUUGACUGGGGCGGUCUCCUCCUAAAGAGUAACGGAGGAGCACGAAGGUUGGCUAAUCCUGGUCGGACAUCAGGAGGUUAGUGCAAUGGCAUAAGCCAGCUUGACUGCGAGCGUGACGGCGCGAGCAGGUGCGAAAGCAGGUCAUAGUGAUCCGGUGGUUCUGAAUGGAAGGGCCAUCGCUCAACGGAUAAAAGGUACUCCGGGGAUAACAGGCUGAUACCGCCCAAGAGUUCAUAUCGACGGCGGUGUUUGGCACCUCGAUGUCGGCUCAUCACAUCCUGGGGCUGAAGUAGGUCCCAAGGGUAUGGCUGUUCGCCAUUUAAAGUGGUACGCGAGCUGGGUUUAGAACGUCGUGAGACAGUUCGGUCCCUAUCUGCCGUGGGCGCUGGAGAACUGAGGGGGGCUGCUCCUAGUACGAGAGGACCGGAGUGGACGCAUCACUGGUGUUCGGGUUGUCAUGCCAAUGGCACUGCCCGGUAGCUAAAUGCGGAAGAGAUAAGUGCUGAAAGCAUCUAAGCACGAAACUUGCCCCGAGAUGAGUUCUCCCUGACUC
rnacentral:rRNA from 1 species